UUCAUUAACUCUUAUCGCGGGCACACAAAGAAGAGCAAACAUUGACGUUGUGAUUGGCCACCGUUUUAACACGAGAGUUGCGAAUGCUGAGCAAAGAUGACAAUUUGUGGAAAAGACUGCAGUUGUGACGCAGCCAAAAGGUAGAACAAGGUCGCCGGAAUAAGGGUGCAUUACCAAAAACUAAGGGGACUGUCACUGCCAUGUAGGCUGAUUGUGGACAUCCAGUUGGAUAAAGAAACUCUCAAAUCGUCUGCACCAAAACCGUCCGCCUGCGCACGCCUCCAACAAACAUGGCGCUCAGCGGCGGAAUGAACUGCAUCCGGGUCUUCCUGGUCAUCCUCAAUAUCAUUUUUGCUCUUCUCGGAGCCGGACUCCUUGCUGCCGCUCUGUUUGUGUUGUUUGGUGGUGAUACGUUAAGCUCUACAUUAGCACCUUUACUGAACCC